UCCUAGGCCCGCGGGCUAGAGGCACUUUACCGCCCGGCGGGAGCGCCUCUCCUCCGCGUCCCUCGCCCCAGCCCCCUGCCCGCCCCACUUUGGGACCCUCCAGCCGCUUUCCCCACAAAUGAGAUCUUUGCAAUGAGCAAACGAAAGUGGCGCGGAUUUCGGGGCGCCCAGCAGGAGCGAGCGCAGCCGCCAGCCGCAAGUCCGCAGCCGUGUCCCGCGCCCCACGCCGGCCUCCCCGGCGGCAGCCGGAGACGAGCGCCAGCACCGGCGGGACAGCAGCAGAUGCGGGCCGAGAGCCGGUCAGGGGCGCAGAGGCGGAGGGGAUCGGCGCGGCGGGGAGCUCACCGCGAAGCUGGAGGCUGCGUCCGCGGGCGCACCAGGAGCUCAGGCAGCGAGCGAUCGAACGCUCUGUGGCAGGCGGUGGACGCUGCUGAAGCUCUGGCUCUGAGCUCACCGCUCCGCCGUCCGUGGGACCAAGCCCAGCAUUUUACAAACCCAGCUCCUUUCUCCAAGGGUCCUCAGAGCGCCCCUCCGUCACCCCCUGCAGGGCGCCGCAGACGAGGCGCUGACCUUGCGCUCACUCCCCUCGCUGGGGAAGGACACACUCGCUGGCGUCAGCCCGGCCGGCCUGGGAAGUAGGACUAAGGACCCGAACUGCAACCCUCCACACCAGACAGCACAGACCACCCCAAGGCUGCUCAAUCUGCCCAAAGCCAAAAGAGCUCCCCUGCCAGGACCUCGGUGCCGUGGAGACUGCGGGGAACCUGCUCUGCCCACACCUGCUCUGGCCCCUAGACGGAAGCACCUGGAGCCAACCACGGAACUCCAGAUCCCAGCUGUGUGACUGAAUCCACGCCAGCCUCUCUGAGCCAAAGCUGCUUGCAGAAGGGGGAGAUCCCAGUUCGAAGACUCCCGCGCAGAGCCUGUGGCCCUCUCUGCCAGGCCUCAGGGUGCCUGAGACACUCACCUCUCUGCCUCGCAGUUGGGGCUGAGGCUGGGGCUGGCUGCCAGCCUCAGUUCUGGGAGCGCUGGGGUCGCCUGGGCCACAGGCCACAGCAGCUCACCUCAGGACUGGGCUCUCUGGCCUGCUGGGGCUCAGGCUGUGGGGCAGGCUGGGCAGGGGGCUGAGCUGGCAGCGAUUCAGAGCCCUGGGGCUGGGGGCUGGAAUCCACCUCCUCCCACACAAGCUCGGUGGUGACUCUUCGGCCCCUGGGGAAAAACAAAAAGAUAUUGCUGAGAUGACCUCUUUUAAAAGCAAAGCCCCCCUCCCCAUACACCCCAAGCCUGAGCCCUGUCCCAUCCCCCUCCCCGGGUUCCUUCAGGUCACCUUGUCAGGAUCUGGGCAGCGGCUUCCCCCUCUAGCCCCUCCCCUGCCUAGAGCUCCCUCUUUCAAAGUAUAAGGGAGGGAAGAAGUGGUGAGAAGUUUGCCUAGAAAGGGCUUCCCGGUGCUGAUGGAGAGGCCGAGACCCUUCUGUUGGACAGGCUGCCCUGUUCCUGGGUGAGGAUGGGCUUCUGCCUGGCACUGGGGGUGGAGGGUGCACACGAAUGGCCCGCCUUGAGGGGUCAUGGCACGGAAUAUGAAAGCCUCCUCCACCUCCAAACACCCCCACCUUGGAAGGAGAUAAGGAGGGGGCCCCAGCAAAAGCCACUGGACACACAGCUCUGCUUGACGAGGCCAGUGAGGGACGGCGUGGCUGUGCUUCCUGGGGAAAUGAACCCCCUCCCCACAGACACCACCCUGGGUGGAUCGAGGAGUCUGGGUCCAGGGUGCAACAGAGAAAAACUUCAUGCAUGAAUGAGCAUUCCCAGGGAAACUGCCUUGGCCCCAGGGCGCCUCUCUGUGCCAGGGAGGCUGGGAGAGCAGCAAGGGGGACCAGGUGCGCCAUCAGGAGGAGAGAAGCUAAACCUAGGGGGGACAUGGAGGGCGGUUGUUGCCUCUCCCGGCAUUUCUCCUCAGUCUCCUGUCCAAUUUCUUGCUGGUGGUCAGGAGGCAUAGGGAGGCAGGAGGGAAGGAAGCUUUACCUGUAAAAUGGUGUAUAUAUGUAUAAAUAAAAUCUCUGCGCCAGAAAAAAAAAAAAAAAAAAAAAAAAAAAAAAAAAAAAAAAAA
rnacentral:lncRNA from 1 species